rnacentral:rRNA from 1 species
CAAUAGACUACCCAGGUAGUCCACGCCGUAAACGAUGGAUACUAGCUGUUGGAGGUAUCGACCCCUUCAGUAGCGAAGCUAACGCGUUAAGUAUCCCGCCUGUGGAGUACGGUCGCAAGACUAAAACAUAAAGGAAUUGACGGGGACCCGCACAAGCGGUGGAUCGUGUUCUUUAAUUCGAUGCUAAACGAAGAACCUUACCAGGGUUUGACAUCCCUUGAAUUAAUCCGAAAGGAUUGAGUGCUUUAUUGAACAAGGUGACAGGUGAUGCAUGGCCGUCGUCAGCUCGUGUCGUGAGAUGUUUGGUUAAGUCCAUCAACGAGCGCAACCCUUGCAAGUAGUUGUAUUUUUCUACUUGGACUGCCCCGGUAACGGGGAGGAAGGAGGGGAUGGAUGGUCAGGUCAGUAUUUCCCUUACAUCCUGGGCUAGAAACACGAUACAAUGGCUAGUACAAUGCGCAGCGAAGCCGCGAGGUGAAGCAAAUCGCAUCAAAGCUAGUCCCAGUUCGGAUUGGAGGCUGAAACUCGCCUCCAUGAAGUCGGAA